rnacentral:rRNA from 1 species
UAUGGGUUGUAAACUGCUUUUAUAAGGGAAUAAAGUGAGUCUCGUGAGACUUUUUGCAUGUACCUUAUGAAUAAGGACCGGCUAAUUCCGUGCCAGCAGCCGCGGUAAUACGGAAGGUCCGGGCGUUAUCCGGAUUUAUUGGGUUUAAAGGGAGCGUAGGCCGGAGAUUAAGCGUGUUGUGAAAUGUAGACGCUCAACGUCUGCACUGCAGCGCGAACUGGUUUCCUUGAGUACGCACAAAGUGGGCGGAAUUCGUGGUGUAGCGGUGAAAUGCUUAGAUAUCACGAAGAACUCCGAUUGCGAAGGCAUUGUGCCGGGGCAUAACUGACGCUGAGGCUCGAAAGUGCGGGUAUCAAACAGGAUUAGAUACCCUGGUAGUCCGCACGGUAAACGAUGGAUGCCCGCUGUUGGUCUGAAUAGGUCAGCGGCCAAGCGAAAGCAUUAAGCAUCCCACCUGGGGAGUACGCCGGCAACGGUGAAACUCAAAGGAAUUGACGGGGGCCCGCACAAGCGGAGGAACAUGUGGUUUAAUUCGAUGAUACGCGAGGAACCUUACCCGGGCUUGAAUUGCAGAGGAAGGAUUUGGAGACAAUGACGCCCUUCGGGGCCUCUGUGAAGGUGCUGCAUGGUUGUCGUCAGCUCGUGCCGUGAGGUGUCGGCUUAAGUGCCAUAACGAGCGCAACCCCUCUCCUUAGUUGCCAUCAGUUGAAGCUGGGCACUCUGGGGACACUGCCACCGUAAGGUGUGAGGAAGGUGGGGAUGACGUCAAAUCAGCACGGCCCUUACGUCCGGGGCUACACACGUGUUACAAUGGCAGGUACAGAGAGACGGUUGUACGCAAGUACGAUCAAAUCCUUAAAGCCUGUCUCAGUUCGGACUGGGGUCUGCAACCCGACCCCACGAAGCUGGAUUCGCUAGUAAUCGCGCAUCA